rnacentral:piRNA from 1 species
GUAUGAAUAAAUAAAAAGACAGGAAC